rnacentral:rRNA from 1 species
CAACCGCUGACCGCAUGGUCGGGCGGUGGAAAGCUCCGGCGGUGCAGGAUGAGCCCGCGGCCUAUCAGCUUGUUGGUGAGGUAAUGGCUCACCAAGGCGACGACGGGUAGCCGGCCUGAGAGGGCGACCGGCCACACUGGGACUGAGACACGGCCCAGACUCCUACGGGAGGCAGCAGUGGGGAAUAUUGCACAAUGGGCGCAAGCCUGAUGCAGCGACGCCGCGUGAGGGAUGACGGCCUUCGGGUUGUAAACCUCUUUCAGCAGGGAAGAAGCGCAAGUGACGGUACCUGCAGAAGAAGCGCCGGCUAACUACGUGCCAGUAGCCGCGGUAAUACGUAGGGCGCAAGCGUUGUCCGGAAUUAUUGGGCGUAAAGAGCUCGUAGGCGGCUUGUCGCGUCGGAUGUGAAAGCCCGGGGCUUAACCCCGGGUCUGCAUUCGAUACGGGCAGGCUAGAGUUCGGUAGGGGAGAUCGGAAUUCCUGGUGUAGCGGUGAAAUGCGCAGAUAUCAGGAGGAACACCGGUGGCGAAGGCGGAUCUCUGGGCCGAUACUGACGCUGAGGAGCGAAAGCGUGAGGAGCGAACAGGAUUAGAUACCCUGGUAGUCCACGCCGUAAACGGUGGGCACUAGGUGUGGGCAACAUUCCACGUUGUCCGUGCCGCAGCUAACGCAUUAAGUGCCCCGCCUGGGGAGUACGGCCGCAAGGCUAAAACUCAAAGGAAUUGACGGGGGGCCCGCACAAGCGGCGGGAGCAUGUGGCUUAAUUUCGACGCAACGCGAAGAACCUUACCCAAGGCUUGACAUACACCGGGAAACGUCUGGAGACAGGCGCCCCCUUGUGGGUCGGGUGUACAGGGUGGUGCA